rnacentral:lncRNA from 1 species
UCCACCAGCCCUUGAAGCACUGGACAGCAUGCAUCCUUGGCACUGCUGCCAAUUCCAAUGUGAAUGAGGCCACCCAACACAUCCACACAAGCUCCCAACUUGAGAGUGUCGAUGGGACACGUGUUCUUUGGUGGUGAUGGGGUUGGCACUGGUGUUGGUGGUGGUGGAGGAGGACAUGGUGUCUCAGUGGGUGGAGGAGGCUUAACUGGUACAACUGGGGUAGGUGUAGGUGUUGGUGGGCUUGGUGGUACAACAGGUGGUGAUGGUGGUGGCUUAACUGGUACAACUGGGGUAGGUGUUGGUGUUGGUGGGCUUGGUGGUACAACAGGUGGUGAUGGUGGUGGCUUAACUGGUACAACUGGGGGCUUGGGUACAUAGGGUGGUGGGGGUUGUACAACUGGGGGCUUGGGUACAUAUGGUGGUGGUGGUUGUACAACUGGGGGUUUGGGGAUGAAGGGUGGGUGCACAAUUGGGGGUUUAGGGAUAAAAGGUGGGUGCACGAUUGGGGGCUUGGGGAUGAAGGGUGGGUGCACAAUUGGGGGCUUGGGGAUGAAGGGUGGGUGCACAAUUGGGGGUUUAGGGAUGAAGGGUGGGUGCACAAUUGGGGGUUUAGGGAUGAAGGGUGGGUGCACAAUUGGGGGUUUAGGGAUGAAGGGUGGGUGCACAAUUGGGGGCUUGGGGAUGAAGGGUGGGUGCACAAUUGGGGGCUUGGGGUGGGGUGGUGGUUUGACAAUAGGAGGCUUGGGGAUGAAGGGAGGUCUCACAAUAGGUGGUUUGGGGACAGAAGGAGGUUUUGGUAUAUGGGGAGGAUAUACAAUGGGGGGUUUGGGGCCAUGAGGUGGCUUGGGUACAUGGGGUGGAUGAGGAUGAGGUGGCUUUGAUGGUGGCUUGGGAACAUAGGGAGGCUUUACAUGAGGGGGAUGGGGUGGUUUUGAUGGUGGUUUGGGAACAUAGGGAGGCUUUACAUGAGGAGGAAGAGGUGGUUUUGAUGGUGGUUUGGGAACAGAGGGAGGCUUUACAUGAGGGGGAUGAGGUGGGUGUUUAGGUGGUUUAGGGAUGAAGGGUGGCUUUACAUGAGGAGGCUGUUUGGGUGGCAAGUGUGGAGGGUAUGUUGGUGGUGGACAGUAGGAGUUAGCAAGAGAAGUGAGCAAACUACCCAAAUUCACAAUGAGGACUAAGAGCAAAGCCAGGGUAUAAUUCCCCAU